rnacentral:rRNA from 1 species
GGCGCCGGCCUAUACGGCUACGUCGACCAAACCAAGGUAGAACCUUCCAAGAUCAUCACCACCAAGGACAAGGAUGGCAAGGAUCAGGUGAUCACCAACCCUGCCUAUGCCCCCUGGUUAAUUCAAGAUCAACAGAUGGUCGCAUAUCUUCUUCGAAAUCUCUCCAAGGAGGUGUUGGUUCAAGUUGCAUCGAUGGAAACAUCACACGCGAUUUGGACGGCCCUGAGCAACAUGUUCUGCGCUGUAUCGCUCUCCUGCAUCAACAGCAUUCGGGCCUCGGUCACCAACGCCUAG